rnacentral:rRNA from 1 species
CCUACGGGGGGCAGCAGUAGGGAAUCUUCCGCAAUGGACGAAAGUCUGACGGAGCAACGCCGCGUGAGUGAUGAAGGUUUUCGGAUCGUAAAACUCUGUUGUUAGGGAAGAACAAGUACCGUUCGAAUAGGGCGGUACCUUGACGGUACCUAACCAGAAAGCCACGGCUAACUACGUGCCAGCAGCCGCGGUAAUACGUAGGUGGCAAGCGUUGUCCGGAAUUAUUGGGCGUAAAGCGCGCGCAGGCGGUUUCUUAAGUCUGAUGUGAAAGCCCCCGGCUCAACCGGGGAGGGUCAUUGGAAACUGGGGAACUUGAGUGCAGAAGAGGAGAGUGGAAUUCCACGUGUAGCGGUGAAAUGCGUAGAGAUGUGGAGGAACACCAGUGGCGAAGGCGACUCUCUGGUCUGUAACUGACGCUGAGGCGCGAAAGCGUGGGGAGCUGAAC